UACGUAGGGCGCAAGCGUUGUCCGGAAUUAUUGGGCGUAAAGAGCUCGUAGGCGGUUUGUCGCGUCUGCUGUGAAAACUCGGGGCUUAACUCCGGGCCUGCAGUGGGUACGGGCAGACUAGAGUGUGGUAGGGGAGACUGGAAUUCCUGGUGUAGCGGUGAAAUGCGCAGAUAUCAGGAGGAACACCGAUGGCGAAGGCAGGUCUCUGGGCCAUAACUGACGCUGAGAAGCGAAAGCAUGGGGAGCGAACAGG
rnacentral:rRNA from 1 species